GUGCAGAUGCAAGAAAAAAGGGUCCUUGAACAUUCUGUCUGUCCAAUUGUGGCAGCCAAGAUUGAAUGGGGGAAUACAGUC
rnacentral:snoRNA from 1 species